GGUUGCGAUCAUACCAGCACUAAUGCACCAGAUCCCAUCAGAACUCCGCAGCUAAGCAUGCUUGGGCGAGAGUAGUACUAGGAUGGGUGACGCCCUGGGAAGUCCUCGGGUUGCAACCCC
rnacentral:rRNA from 1 species